rnacentral:rRNA from 1 species
UACGGAGGGUGCAAGCGUUAAUCGGAAUUACUGGGCGUAAAGCGCACGCAGGUGGCUGAGUCAGUCGAUUGUGAAAGCCCUGGGCUUAACCUGGGAAUUGCAGUCGAUACUACUUAGCUAGAGUAUGGGAGAGGACAGUGGAAUUCCCGGUGUAGCGGUGAAAUGCGUAGAUAUCGGGAGGAACAUCAGUGGCGAAGGCGGCCCUCUGGUCCAGUACUGACACUCAAGUGCGAAAGCGUGGGGAGCAAACAGG